rnacentral:rRNA from 1 species
AUUGAACGCUGGCGGCAGGCCUAACACAUGCAAGUCGAGCGAGCGGCGGACGGGUGAGUAAUGUAUGGGAAGCUGCCCGAUGGAGGGGGAUAACUACUGGAAACGGUAGCUAAUACCGCAUACUAUCGGAUGUGCCCAGAUGGGAUUAGCUAGUUGGUGGGGUAAAGGCUCACCUAGGCGACGAUCUCUAGCUGGGCUGAGAGGAUGAUAAGCCACACUGGAACUGAGACACGGCCCAGACUCCUACGGGAGGCAGCAGUGGGGAAUAUUGCACAAUGGGCGCAAGCCUGAUGCAGCCAUGCCGCGUGUAUGAAGAAGGCCUUAGGGUUGUAAAGUACUUUCAGCGGGGAGGCGUUACCCGCAGAAGAAGCACCGGCUAACUCCGUGCCAGCAGCCGCGGUAAGUC